UCCGGUAUGGUGUAACGGCUAACAUUGCCGCCUUUCAGUGUCACAGACGCUUAUAUUGCGCGGCAGCUCGGGGUUCGAUUCCCCGUACCGGAA